rnacentral:rRNA from 1 species
AAUCAACGCUGGCGGCGUGCCUCAGACAUGCAAGUCGAACGAUUAAACUUUCCUUCGGGAAAGAUAUAAAGUGGCGCACGGGUGAGUAACACGUAAGUAAUCUACCUUUGAGUGGGGAAUAACGUUCGGAAACGGACGCUAAUACCGCAUAAUGCAGCGGCAUCGCAAGAUGACAGUUGUUAAAGAUUUAUCGCUUGAAGAGGAGCUUGCGGCAGAUUAGCUUGNGGUAAGGUAACGGCUUACCAAGGCUACGAUCUGUAUCCGGUCUAAGAGGACGGUCGGACACACUGACACUGAAUAACGGGUCAGACUCCUACGGGAGGCAGCAGUCGGGAAUUUUGGGCAAUGGGGGAACCCUGACCCAGCAACGCCGCGUGAAGGAUGAAGUAUUUCGGUAUGUAAACUUCGAAAGAAUAGGAAGAAUUAAUGACGUACUAUUUAUAAGGUCCGGCUAACUACGUGCCAGCCGCCGCU